CUCCAUGGGAAGGCUAUGUAUGUGUUUGUGCAGGGUUUUCUUGAAGAUUUUCCUUAUUCGUUAUGCUGCCUGAAUUUGAUUUUCCUUUAUCGACUCAAUAUCCAGAAAAUAUAUUUCAGCUGUUGUCGGCGAGAAAUUGAUUUGGAUCCGUUUUGGGUUUCUUGAAGAUUUUCCUUAUUCGUUAUGCUGCCUAA